UCUCCUUCUCGAUCUCUCCUCCUCUCUCCUGGUCUUCAUCCGUGAUUCUUCCUCAGUCUCUCCCUCCGUUCGUCUCGCCUCUCCCUACGCAACACCAGCCGUCUCUCCUGUGGUCCUCUCUUCCCCAAUCAUCCCGAUCCCUUCUCUCCGAGGCAGCCGUUCUCUCUCUCCAUCCCAUGUCCUCUCUCCUUCCUGGGCGGACGGAGACUCGGGCAUAGUGUUGGUGGCCGUGGAUGAAGUUGGCGCCAUAUGCAAGGUUGGGGACGAGGAGUCGUUGAGGCAUGGCGUUGGAGGCUGUGGAAGGAGCCGUCCCUAGGGUUGGGCGCUCCUGAACGGGGAUGGCGGCUAUAGCUUGCGGUGGUGCUCACUCGUGCCGAUGCAGAUGGAUUCUUCGACCCACAAGAAGAUGUGUGACGGGCUGCUCAACUCCAGUGAGAAGCUUCUAUUGUGGUAGGCAGCCCGUGGUCAUGGCAGGACCCGAUGUCGUUGCUCGGUACUAUGGGAGCUCGCCUGCGUCCAAAUGUGAAUGAAAUAGGAAAUUAAGAUAUGGCAUGCAGCUGAGAUUA